rnacentral:snRNA from 1 species
UAACUCUGGUUUCCCUUCAAAACGCAUAAAUCUUUCCGCCUUGACUAAAGAUUCCGUGGAGGGAACAACCAAUGAGUCCUUACUCAAUUUUUUCUAUAGCCCAAUCGGGGGGUUCA